rnacentral:rRNA from 1 species
UACGUAGGGGGCAAGCGUUGUCCGGAUUUAUUGGGCGUAAAGAGCGUGUAGGCGGCCAGGUAGGUCCGUUGUGAAAACUCGAGGCUCAACCUCGAGACGCCGAUGGAAACCAUCUGGCUAGAGUCCGGAAGAGGAGAGUGGAAUUCCCGGUGUAGCGGUGAAAUGCGCAGAUAUCGGGAAGAACACCCGUGGCUAAGGCGGCUCGCUAGUACGGUACUGACGCUGAGACGCGAAAGCGUGGGGAGCGAACAGG